UUGAGUGGCUUCUGCUGUCGCUGCAGUGGUCUGUUAACACCAGGCCCCUCCUCCUCGGGGACUGCCACCCUUCCCCUCCCAGGCUGCAGGCUCUGAGGCCUUCAGACCAGGGCACCCUUGGAUGUGGUGGCCAGGCCUCCAGGGGCCACGCCCUCCAGUGAGCAACACAGAUGAAGCGGCACUUAGGAAGUAACUGCAGACAGUGCGUGCUGAGCGAGAGCUACUGGCGUUGUUGAACCGCAUUCUCACAAGAACUCUAUGAUGGGACUGAAGAAGAUGUACUCUGUGCUCAGAUCCACCAGACAAAGAAAGACAUAUCAGCCAAGGAGGGGAAGGAUGAAAAUUGGUGUUCGGCUAUUCAUUCACGUACGUGUGGUUCAUCUCCAAGGCUCCUAAGAAAGCAGCAGCACACCAAAUCUCUUCCAACACCGUCUGUAUCAGAGCCUCCUGUGAGAUAAUCCUCUUAAUGGAAUAUUUAAGAAAUCGGAUAUAAAUCACCAAGCUUUUAUCUCACCUGAAGAUUCAUACUCCAUGGGAUGUGUGGUAUAUAUGUCUAUCUCCAUAUAGAUGGUUGCAGAUGCCUUUUUGAGAGAAUGUUGCCAUGUUUUUAGGCUCAAUAUGUUUUUUCAAUAUCUAAAUCUAUUUCUUUUCUAGAGAUAUGGGAGCAAAAAUAUAAAUUUUCGAGAUCAGAGCCCAGAAAAUAGAUGCACCUAGAGACAUUUCUAAAUUAAAACACACAUCCCUGGGAAAAACCUUUUUUGUCAUUGGCAACCAACAAAAACCCCUAUUGUUAUGACGAGCUCGUAAAUAACUUGACUUUGGCAUAUGCUUUUGUACCAAACAGAAGAUGAAUAAAUUAAAUUUGAUUUACAA